CUUGGACCGUAGCUUUUUUAUCUUCUAAGAUAUCCAUAUAGAGAAACUUACGUGAUCCACAUAAGAAUACUAUAUUUCCUCAGGCCUAGUGUAAAGUCCCUAGUCAACAACAACUGUGCAAGUUUUAUUUACAUCUGAAAUUUCCCUGUCUCUCUAGCCUCCUCAGGAUUUUGUAAAAAAAAAUAUCAAAAAUGCAAUGUUACAUGCACUCAAAAAAUUUUGGAUCAGCUUAUAUGACAACAGCAGCCAAUCAAAAUGGACUUGACUAGAUGGCUCAACUUUUACUGUGGACAAGGUUCAAUUAGGCAGUCCUGUCAUGGCUGAUAACCAAUGUGAAUAUAUAAAAGAUGAUCAGUUACUGAAUGGAGACUGCAGAGAACCUGGUUAUUGUAUAUCCAAGAAGAAUGCAUAUGGAGAUUAAAGUUUUAAUAUUCAUAAAAAAAGAAAAUAUGAAAUACAAAUACAUGAUUUUUUACUUCAUGUUAAGAAACUUUUUUCUAAAAUUAUGUAUCUUUAUGAUAUUAAAUACCAUACAAUAUUACUUAUAAUAAAUAUGAUAUCAAGUAUUCCUAAACAUGUUAACUAAUCAAAAGGACUUGAGCCCAUAAUAUCUUAACAUGAUUAGUGAAGGUCGUGAUAUAUAAAGGACAAUAAGAAUGGAAUGAAGAGAUUAAAAAAUAUAGAAAAGAAAGAGGUCAUAACAUUCUGAUUGAAGUUUUAAGUACUCCAUAUUCUUUAAAACCUUUAAAACAGAAUCAUUCUACAUAGCUUCAUGUUGCACAGUUUUUUGGUAUUUUCUGGAAUUUUUUACUCUGCUUCACAAUAAUACUUAUCUCAAAUGCCUGACCUUCAAAGAAUAAGUUUUUUCAUAAGUCUGGAAGGUAAUGACUUGGAAAUGUUUUCAAAGAACUAAGGACAUUUUAAAACUUUUCUUGGUUCAAAAUGAGUCAUGCCUGGUGAUAACAAUAACUUUGUGAACAAUAUCUGAAGACUUAUUCUGACUUUUUUGAAAAAAAUCAUCCUAAAGAAUACAUUUAAAUAUUGAACAACAAAUCAUCAGCAAGAAUAAUGCCAACAUUUAAAAGAAACUGUGAAAGUUAACUGAUUGUGUCAGCUUGAGAAAUGUCCAGCUUAAUUGGAUCAGCAUAGCUGGGACCAUACUGAUGACAGUGUUGUCGCCAUGGUAAUCCUGCUCAGUAAGAGUGGAACCACAGAUGGCUUUUAUCAGAUUGAGA
rnacentral:lncRNA from 1 species